ensembl:lncRNA
AUACCAACUCAUUUGUGUUUCUGUGAGACAGACCACUGGUUGGCACUGAGCUCUGUCCUACACAAGUCAGAAGAGUUCAGACUGCCCCUGCAGGGAGCCUGGUGCAGGCAGGGAACGCAGUGGAAAGCUGCAGCUGUUUGCUAUCAGCCUGAACCACACAGCACGAAGGAGAGAAGGAACUUUACUGUGGUGAACUGCUGACUGACAGGACUGGGGGUGAGGAUGCUCCUAGCAUGGAGGUGGCUCUGUGCAUCUCUGGUCAAGAUUUUGGGCUGUGUACUUUAUUCCUGUGGGACUCUGCUUGCAUCACUACAGUAAGGAAAACAGCUGGGUGAAGCUGAUGAACAUUGCUCCUUGCUGCCUGUAUUUACAGUUCUCUCCAUGGGCCCUGCUCUAGCAGGAGACAUGGAGGUUGCAGAAGCUAUUCAACAGUGUAUGCAGUGUUUCCAUCUGUCUCAUAAAUGCCAAAUAACUGCUGCUUCCCCAUGGACAAACAUCUUCCCGUUGCUGACAAUUCAUCCAGAAUGAUACAUCAAAGCAUUAAAGACACUUACCCAGUUUCAAACAAUGCCAGCAUCUUUUCAGGUGCUUGCUUCCAGGUCCUCGUUGGCUCUGUACACAUCAUCAGCACAGCAGUAUGACCAUCAGCAGGUCUGCCCCGUCCUGCAUUGGUGAUACCUCGUGCUGUAAGUGUGGAUGCAAAAGCAUCUGGUCCUGGGGCUAUUAGAGACCAGCACAGUUCUCCAUCAAAGAUCUUGGUUCUUGAAGUAGCUGAAGGGUUAUUUUUCAACCAGAGUGGAAGCUGAACCAUGGAACAGGGUGUACUUUGCUCUUGAAAUUGGUGUACUAUUCCAUUCAGAAUGUAGCUCUUU